rnacentral:rRNA from 1 species
CCUACGGGAGGCAGCAGUGGGGAAUAUUGGGCAAUGGAGGAAACUCUGACCCAGCAACGCCGCGUUAAUGAUGAAGGUUUUCGGAUUGUAAACUUCUGUCGCGAGGGAUGAAGAAUGACGGUACCUCGUAAGAAAGCCCCGGCAAACUACGUGCAAGCAGCCGCGGUAAUACGUAGGGGGCCAGCGUUGUCCGGCAUGCCUGGGCGGAACGGGAGUGUAGGAGGCAUAUUAAGUUAUGUGUGAAAGCCCGCGGAUCAACCGCGGAAUUGCACAUAAAACUGGUAAGCGGGAGUGUUGGAGAGGGAAGUAGAAGUCCCGGUGUAGCGGUGGAAUGCGUAGAGAUCGGGAGGAACACCAGAGGCGAAGGCGACUUACUGGACUGAAACUGACGCUGAGGUUCGAAAGCGUGGGGAGCAAACAGGAUUAGAUACCCGAGUAGUC